UACGAAGGGGGCUAGCGUUGCUCGGAAUUACUGGGCGUAAAGCGCACGUAGGCGGUCUUUUAAGUCGGGGGUGAAAUCCUGGAGCUCAACUCCAGAACUGCCUUCGAUACUGGAAGACUCGAGUCCGGGAGAGGUGAGUGGAUCUGCGAGUGUAGAGGUGAAAUUCGUAGAUAUUCGCUAGAACACCAGUGGCGAAGGCGGCUCACUGGCCCGGUUCUGACGCUGAGGUGCGAAAGCGUGGGGAGCAAACAGG
rnacentral:rRNA from 1 species